rnacentral:lncRNA from 1 species
AAUAUAUUUUAACAAAUUCCGAUCUCUCUCCGCUCUCUCUCUCUUUCACACACAUCUAGAGAUGUACACAUCUCUCUCUCCUCUCUCUCUCUCUCAUUGAGAAAUAUGCCCAUCUCUCUUUCUCUCCUCUAUCUCUCUCUUCUCUCUCACAUAGAGAUGUUCUCUAUGUACUUCCAUCUUUCUCUCUCUCAUCUUCUUCUCUUUCUCCUUAUGCACGUUUAUUUUCUUUCUUUCUUUCGCAAACCACUCCUCCGCCGGCCCUGCCUUUUUGUCCCCCUCUCUAUGUA